CACCUGUGAGGAAGAUGGUUCCUUGCUGAAUAUUUUAAACAGUAAGAGUUCCAAUACCAACAAUUCAGGUACCCCGUGCAGUGAAAGGGGCAUGCAGGAGACAAGGUACUGAACAAAACAUCCCUGCAAAAAAACAGGCUUUCAUUUAAAGGAAGAAAAAUGUUGCUGAAAGCUGCAAGAUUAUUAGCAUUACUAUGCAUGAGCAGCAGUCAAAAAAGGUGUUACAAGAGGAAGAGAGACAUUAUUCAAGUGUCUAAGAAGAUGGACCAUCAUCAGCAGUGGAGAGAAAAGCUUCCAAAGGAAUAGCAUAGCAUUUCAAACAUUAAAUUAUAAGGGGACUGAGGCUUUAAAAGAUGAAAGGCUCGCACGGAGAACGGUGCGCUGUGCAUUAGGAUCGGCAGAUAUCCUCUGGGAUCUGAACAGAGAAGGGUUGUUUGAGAUGUGCACUCUAUGCUUGUCAAAGAGAACACCAGGAGUGCCCUCCCAGCAGUCUCCAUGAGCUCUCUGGGUACCUUCACCUGGCUUUUCUCUUGUGCCUGGAAGCUCAGCAUUUGGCACCUUCUGUCCCAGUUGAGUCCAAUAUUUGAUGGGAUUUGCUAGCGAAUUUAAAAGCAGACUUGCAGCCACACACAUGGCAGUCCAGGGAUGGCAAGAUGUUUCCACACACAAAAUGUCAGCUGGCCCAAGCAAGCCUGUUCAGUUCCUGUGACAGUACCUGCUGCAAUACUCUCCAACAACCAGAAAAAGAAGGCAGCUGUCCAUUUCUCUGCAGGAACAGACAUAUGUUAGAGGCUGUCAAUACUGCUGCAGAAGCAAACCACUGAGCUCAUGGACUGCCUCUGCCAAUGGCUAAGUGAGAUUCUGCCCUGGAAAACAGCUUCUCAUUCUCAAAACAAAGACAGCAAGAUGUGUGCAGGUGUUACUUUUGAACUGUCAUACCUGACACGUGUUUUGGUAAACCAGGGCUCCUCAGUGACUGAGGGAACAGCUGAGUCCAUCAAC